rnacentral:rRNA from 1 species
GAUGAACGCUAGCUAUAGGCUUAACACAUGCAAGUCGAGGGGAAACGGCAUUAUGUGCUUGCACAUUUUGGACGUCGACCGGCGCACGGGUGAGUAUCGCGUAUCCAACCUGCCCUCUACUUGGGGAUACCCCGUUGUAAGACGGCCUAAUUCCCGAUGUAAUUCAUUGUUUGCAUCAGAUAUGAAUAAAAGAUUUAUCGGUUAAGGAUGGGGAUGCGUCUGAUUAGCUUGUUGGUGAGGUAACGGCUCACCAAGGCGACGAUCAGUAGUGGUUCUGAGAGGAAGGUCACCCAGAUUGGAACUAGGACACGGACCAAACUACAACGAGAGGCAGCAAUGAGGAAGAUAGGUCAAUGGGCGCAAGCCUGAACCAGCCAAGUAGCGUGCAAGAAGACAGCCCUAUGGGAUGUAAACUGCUUUGAAGCGAAAAGAAUUUAAUGCACGUGUGCGUUAUUGCAUGUAUCGGAUGAAUAAGGACCGGCUAAUUCCGUG